UAGAGAAUAGUGUAAAGCAUAGCAAUCUUUGGUAUUGAAGGUAUAACUCUAA
rnacentral:tRNA from 1 species